AUGCUCGCAAGAGUGAACUAGCUAACUGAAAUCACAGGAUCCMCUACGUGUGGUGAAUGUAAUAACGUAAGGGAAAAAAAUGAUAUUACCUUAUUAUUAGUGUUGUCCAAAACUGGUGCCAGAAGACUCGGUAAGGCCAGAGACGCAAACGUUAGUCGUCCUAAUCAGGCGUAAAGGGUAUGUAGGCUGUUUUAAAAGUUUUAUAUUAAUAGCUAAUGUAUAAAAAUCUAUUUAUUUAAAAUUAAAUUAAAUUAAAAUCCUUCUCCUUUUUUUUUGUGUGUUUUUUACUUUAAAGAAGGAGGGAAAAAUAAAAUUUAUACAUAAAAAUAUAAGAUGAAUUAAAGCUAGGAUCAAAUGGAGGAUAAGUCAAAUAAUACCUAGUGUAGGGUUUAAAUCUGUUGAUGUUAGGUAGAGUACUAACGGUGAAAGCUUUUUAUCUAGAAAUGAUUGACGCUGAGAAACGAAGGUGAGAAUAGGAAAUAGGAUUAGAUACCCAGAUACCUCUCACAGUCAACGAUGAAUGGUGGUUGUUAGUUAGUUUUAUUUAACUGAUAACGAUGUUAACACGAUAACCAUUCCGCCUUGCGAGUACGGUUGCAAAACUGAAACCAAAAAAAUUAGUCGGUCUCGAAGCAAACGAAKUGAAGCAUGUA
rnacentral:rRNA from 1 species